rnacentral:lncRNA from 1 species
ACGGGAAGAAAACUCUACAGCUACCAAGGAUCUUGGUACUAUCCCAACACACUCCAAGCAAUCCUAAACUUCCAAACACAUUUCCAAGCGCGAGACAGCGAUAUCAUCCUAGCUUCUUUACCCAAAUCAGGAACCACCUGGCUCAAGGCUCUUGCAUUCGCCGUCGUCCAUAGAAACAAGUAUGCUCCUAAUCUUGAAUCCCAUCCUCUCCUCUCCGACAAUCCUCACAACCUCGUCCGGUUUCUUGAACUUGAUUUAUAUGUCAAGAAUCAAUGUCCUGGCCUAGAAGAGCUUCCUUCGCCUCGGAUUUUUGCAACCCACAUGCCUUUUCAAACCCUUCAUGAAUCUCUAAGAGAUUCUCCUUGCAAGGUUGUUUACGUGUGCAGGGACAUAAAAGAUGUGUUGGUCUCUCGUUGGCAUUUCAGGAGCAAGCUUGUUAGUAACUACUCGCUUGAAGAUAUAGUUGAGGAGUAUAUUAAAGGGGUUUGCUUCUUCGGGCCGUUUCAGGAACAAGUAUUAAGUUAUUGGAAAGAGAGCUUGGUGAAUUCGAAUCAUGUUCUCUUCAUGAGGUAUGAAGAAAUGAUAGAGAAGCCGGAGGCUCAAGUUAUAAGACUCGCUGAUUUCUUAGGUUGUCCGUUCACUGAAGAAGAAAAGCAAAGUGGAAUAGUAGAGAAUAUCUUGGAGCUGUGUAGUUUUGGUAACUUGAGUAACUUGGAGGCUAACAAGACUGGGACAUCUACUUGUGGAAUUCCUCACCAUGGGUUUUUUCGUAAAGGAGGAGUUGGUGGCUGGAAUAAUCAUCUCACUGAUGAUAUGGCAAGAAAACUCGAUGAGAUGGUUGAAAAGAAACUAGAAGGUUCAGGGUUGAAGUUUGAGUGAUCCAAGUUCAUAAUAAUUUUUAUAUGUUUGAUAUUCAAUAAGAAAAUCGUGUUAUGAUAUAUAAAGAUUAUAUGAAAGCUAAGCUCAGUUAUCGUUUGCAUAUCUUUUGGUGUGUUGUUUUAAAAAUGUAUAUAUUGGAAAAUAUGUGUGUUUUCUUUUGUUUUUCUUUGUCAUGUACACAAUACACCUAAACCGGCUAAAGAUGGAGAACUUCUAUAUGGAGUAGCCACUAGCCAAAUCUUUGUAACCCAAAAGUGGUCAAAAAGGUGAAGGAAGUUAUGUUGUGGAUACAGAACUCAAAAGGUGAUUAUGCUUAUACGUACCAGUUAAAAGAUGAGAAGAAAUCUUUGUAAGAUAACUGAAGGCUCUUAUCAGAAUAAAGUAGUUUUUUUUCUUCUUGAAACUCUGAUAUAAUUAAAUAGUUGUCAGCAUGAGUUUUUUAUACUGAGAGUUCUAUAGUUCGUAAGCAGGCUCUUUGUUUCUUGGAUUUCAUAAGAAAAAAAAAGUUUGUAAAGAUUUUUGAAACCAAAUUGGACAAAGAAAGCCAGAGAGAAAGAUGAAGAGCCCUUUCCAACAUGAAAACCAACUAUUUAAAGUAUUUGUUUGUUCAGAAUUUGAAAGAAAAGACACCUGUUAGAGUAUUUUUUUAUAAAACAAGAGAAUGGUUUUUUUUUCUCACCCACAAUACAUAAAUAAAUUCAUAGUUUAUGAUUUUUUGUUUCUUAGGCUAAUUUUUUAUCAUCUAAAUAAAAAUCGGAACUAAAACCGACGGUUCCCAAAACUGCAAAGAUACAAAACCAAAAGAGAUUUUUUUUUUUAACAAAACAAAAGAGGAAACAUAUUCUAAAAGAUGGAGAGACUAACUAUAGGCAAUUUCAAUGUAUUUUACUAUUUUUCUUUUAAAACAAAUGAGCUCUAUAAUAAAGAGCAAAAUAGAGAAGAAUAUUAGUUUUCCAAAAUAAUCAUCUCUAAAUAUAUAUAACAAAUUAUAGAAGAAUGUUAUUUCUUUUUUUUUUUAUAAAUAAAAGAAAUAUAACAAUAUCUAUUUUACAGGAAAAACAGAGUAGAGUUAAAUACUAUUAAACCUGGUGUAUUAUGAGCUACAAUAACACACAAUAAAACCAACAGAAAACUUCGAGAGUAAUUGAAAUUCUAUCGACGAAACUCAAAUUUGAUCAUUUUCAAUCUAAUUUGAUCAUUUUUUUCUUGAAAAAACGAUUAAAUUAGACUCUAGUUUAAAAUAAAUUUGAAAGGCUUAUGAAAAUUAGUAUAACUAGCUAGACAGGUUAUAGUAUGUAUUAUGAUCCUCUCUUUUUAAAGACCACUAGGGCUUAAUAAAAUAUCAGUAAAUUUUGAUUUGAUUCGUUUCAUUAUUCAUGUUUAUUCGAACAAAUAUUAGAUAUAUAUAACUCCAUGAAUCAAAGCAAAGAUAAUAUGUAAUAUUCGUAAAAAAAAAUCAUAAAUACUAAUAUAUUUUUGAACUGAUAUCUAUUCUGUUAUAUGCAUGUACAUACAUAUAUUUAAAUAAUUUUAUAUAUAAGUUAUAUGUAUAUAUAUAGAUUUAUUUUAUUUAAGUUUUACACUAUUUUUAUUUACUAAAUUUAUUAUAUUAGUUAUUAGAAUUUUAAAAAGUGAAUAAUUUUAUUUUUUAUUAAUACAUUACUAUUUUAUAUUAUUUUGAUUUUUAUUUGUAUGUUCAAAUUAGAUAUCUAGUUUUAAAAAAUUAAAAUAUUAUAUAUCCGGAACAUCAAAUAUCUGGAUGCCAAGGAUACCAAAUAUGUAGAUGCCUAAAAAUUAAAUCGGAUCAAAUAAUUGAUUAUCCGAGUGAAAUAGAUCUGUUCACAAAUACUUUAUCCGUCCACCCCUAAAGACCAUGUUGAACCAUCGACAUCUUGCGCUUUAUUUAUUCACUAGGUGAUAACCCGCACCAUGUGCAGAAUAAAUUUAUUAAAAAAAAAAUUAUAUUUAGUGAUUAUAAACUCUACUACACAUUUUGUUAUACAUCUUAAUAAUAGUUAACAAAUGUAUAAAUACUGAAUAACAACCAUUUAUCCACAUCUUGUGUGUGAUGGACCUUGUAUAUACAAAUUAUUUUAUGUAUUAUUAUUUAUUUUACAUUUUUAUAUUGUAUAAUAACAAAUAGGAAAUAUAUAAUUAAUAAUUGAGGAAAAUUAAUUAUUAGCAAUAUAAUUAAAUUGGUAGACAAAUCAUUCUUGUUUAUUUACUAUCAUUUUAUGGUAAGUAAAUAUAAAUAUCACAUUUAUCUAUUUUGUAUAUAAUUAAAUUAAAUUGGUAGGCAAAAAAUUGACAUUACUUUUCUAAACAGCUAAAGGGAUUUCAUUGACUCAUAAGAUAUACACUGACACAUAGACACAUUGAAUGUUAGACGCUUCUCCAAGUAAUCUUAACAAUAACAAAAAUAUUUUAGAUGUCGCAUAUUUAUACAUAAUAAACGACAUAUACAAUUUGUAACACAUAAAAAAUGACUCCAUGAAAUGUAAUUGAACACGAGUUGUCUUACGGAACUCAUAUGUUCUUUAACACCAGUUUAAACUUAGAGAAAUACAGACAGAUCUUUUGUUUAUUAUGACUAAGACAAAUCCGAAGUGAGUUUCAGCUGUGUUGUUUAUAAUAAAGAACAUGAUGUUCAAUACGAACUGAAUAACCUUGAACGAUUAUAUUUAGAAAAAUAUAGACAAAGUAUUGUUUACCAUGACCAAGACAAACCCGAGUGAGUUUCAGCUAUGUAAAAUCAUAGUUGACAACCUAAGGUUCAUUACUAACUGAAUAAUAAUGAGAAAUGACAAAUUUGAUAUGGUUCACUACUCUAGGAAUAACAACCUGAUGGAUGUUUCUUAACGAUGCAUCUUAAAUAGCAAACUGAAACAUAUUUUAAAAAGAUACAUUUCAAAUUUUGACGAAUAACUCAUCAAUCGAGCAGACAAAAAUAACUCAUUAAUAAUAUGUGUAUAGUUAGAAAGGAUUACACAUCUUGUUUCUUGUGAUCUUGAAUAAUAGUUCUGGCAGAUUUAGGUUCAUUACUAACUGAAUAACAAUGAAAAUGACAAAUAUACCACGUUCAAAAUAACAAUUUGAUAAUUGAUAGUAAGAUCAGUCACUUUACCAUUAAGAACCUAAGCUAUGUUACUACUUACUGUUGCAUAGUCUAUAUGGAUGGUUCAUGGAGUAAAUUACAGUAUUCAAUUCUGAAAGAUGGAGAGAAGACUUAUUUACGUCAAUUUUUUCCAUGCAGAUUACGUUAAGAUAUGAAACAUGAAGAAGUAACACACAGACUUAACUUCCCUUAUAUAUUAUAAGAGAGAAUCCGAUAUGGUGGUUUCUGUCGCUAUUCUUCUGGCCAUCUAUUUUCCAGUAGAGCUUUAUUCUACAUGUUUCUGUCGCUAUUCUUCUGACCAUCUAUUUGUCAAUAAUAUCAUGCAUAGCCAUUCCAAAAAUUAAGACUUUCCAAUCAUGCAUGGCUAUCUCUCGAUCUCUUAGAUGUGCUAUGCCAGCUGGCAAAGGGAGGUCAUACUGUUCUAGUUAGUUCGCUGCUCCAUUAUCCACUCACACGAUGUCCUAAAACCCCGCCUCUUGGAAUGGCACACAUCAAAGUAGUUCGCCAUGAGUGUCUGAUGAUGUAUUCUCUUAACUUUCAAUAUUUUUUUUCGGCUAAGUAUGUUCUUCCUAUUGUUGCAGACUGUUAAUCUCAUGCAAUGCGAAGUGCUAUAUGUUAUUCUUCCACUCUACACUUUAUGAAGUAUAGCCUCGUGAAAUAUCAAAGGAAGGAAACCAACCAUGCAUGUUUCAGUAGGAGAAGCUUCUUUCGAUGUGCUAUUUCAUCGAGUUCAGCUUGCUUACAUACUACUCGUGACAGCACAUCGAAGGAGAACAACCAUGCUGGUUUCGGUUGGAGAAGCUUAUUUCGAUUUUUUGUUUCAUCAAGUUCAUCUCGCUUAUAUACAGCUCGUGAAAGCUCGAAGGAAGGAGAAUAACCAUACCGGUUACAAAAAGCUCAACAAAUAUUCUUCAACUUAGUCAACCAAUUCUUCUCACGUUUGUAAUCAAUGAAAAUAUUAAAGUUGGAGUUUUAAUCGCAAGAUAACAGUCAUAUACCAAAACUAUUUUUUAUGUAGGGACACAUGAGAUGCAAACUUGGAAACAUAUUUUGCUAAUUAGGCAAUUUUAAGCAUAAUAAAAUUGAAAUGAUUGUGAGCAUGACAUGUGUCAAUAUAAGUGUGAACGCAUUUAUUGACAAUGUUUCUCUUUUAAUAUAUAAGGGAUCUCACUGCCCAAUAAUGAUUCCUCCUCUCACCAACUCUCCAUGUCUCUGAUUAAUUAAUAGUGGAUGUUAGGUGUGUUCGUUUUAUGUGUCCAUUUGUCUAUCCGCAAAUAAUGUUUACUGGUCUCACCAACUCUCUGUGACUCCAAGUCUCCAGCAAAUUAAUAAAACAUGUGAAAUGUACUUUCAAAUUAUUUUUAGUAUCAUGUUACCGUUUUAUAUGAUCGUUCCUCUUAUCACCCCAUGAUUAUACAAAGUCAAAUUCUUCUUUACUUUCCUACCGUUUCUCCUAUUAUGGAAGCUUCACAAAAUCUUCUUCAAACACCUGCAAAUUUCAUGAAGGUCGAUAGUUUGAGCCAAGAAUGUGAAAAUCUGAUCUCUUCUUUACCUUCAGAGAAAGAUUUCAUGGGAAAAAACCUCUAUAGCUAUCAAGGAUCUUGGUACUAUCCCAGCACACUCCAAGCAAUCCUAAACUUCCAAAAACAUUUCCGAGCACGAGACAGCGAUAUCAUCCUAGCUUCUUUCCCCAAAUCAGGAACCACCUGGCUCAAGGCUCUUGUAUUUGCCGUCGUCCAUAGAAACAAGUACGCUCCUAAUCUUGUAUCCCAUCCCCUCCUCUCCGACAAUCCCCACAACCUCGUUCGGUUUAUUGAACUUGAUUUAUAUGUUAAGAACCAACGUCCUGAC